GGUUGUGUUCGGCCUGCAUGUAGCCAGGCAGGUGGAGGUCAGGUGUGAGCAGGGGGGCCGGGAGGCCCCGGCCAAGCCCCAGGCCACUGGGUCAUUUUCCUCCCCACUUCUGAGCUGUCCUGGACGGGUCUUUGUUAUUCCGGCCUCGGGGGUUCCCCGCCUCCCGGCUAGCUCCUGCCCGAACGAACGCACAGCUCGCCAAGGCCAGCUCACUCUUUCUGGAACACACUUCCCCAUCCCACGAUACCUCCUAAAAUGUGCCCAAGGCAGAGAACCUCUCUUCUCUCCACCCUCCGCCCGGCUUUCGCAGAGGACAGCUCCGCCGCAUCUGAGGUGAAUAAUGAUGGCAUUUCCCUCAAGGGAUGGUUGAUUGAAUGAGAUAAUCAGCGCCAACUGCUCGUGCCGGGGAGAGCCUGGAACUUUCGCCAUGGGCCGUGUGAGAUGGCUUUGACCUUGGAUCUCGCCCCGCUCAGCGCCAGGGGUGUCUAGGCACAGCUCUGGCCAAAGGCUUUUUCUAAAGGGCAGAUGCCGUUCAGGGCUAACCCAUGUGAUCCUCAAAGCCCCUUGCAG